AUGAAAGUUGGCAUAAUAAUUAGCAACUGUAUUGUCACGACAGUAAAUUUUAAUUCUCUCUGUUUCUUUAAGCAUGUAAUAAAAAGUUUUAAAACGGUAAUGGAGGCGCGCAAAGGUUUCCUCGAGUCACGCUAAGAUUGGCCCUCGAACGCAAAGGCAAAAGGGAGCUUGACUGCAAGACCCACCCGUUGAGUAGGGGACGAAAGUCAGUCUUAGUGAUACGAUGGUGUUGGGUGGAAGGGCCGUCGCUCAACAGAUAUAAGUUACUCUAGAGAUAACAAGUUGAUCUUCCCCAAAAGCUCACAUCGACUGGAAGGUUUAACACCUCGAUAUCGAUUCUUCGCCGCCUGGGAUUGUAGUAUGUUCCAAGAGUUAGAUUGUUCAUCCAUUAAAGCGGUACGUGAAUUGGAUUCAAAAUAUCAUGAGACAGUUUAGUCUAUUUUCGAUGCGGGGAGUUAGAGCAUU
rnacentral:ncRNA from 1 species